CUAGGAAACGCGGUGAUAACAAACUGACCAAUUUUGAAAUUUGAAUAUUACUAUGAAUUUGAAUUCUCAAUGGAAUUCUCUCUAAAAUUUGAAAAAAAUGAUAUUUCAUUGAAUUUAAUAAUACAUUGUAUACGUGCUAUAGAACUCAAUGAAUUAAUUACUACCAGAGCAUGGCCAUGAAAAAUCUCAAGAAAUACUUGUUGUGGUUUGCGAACGAUCACGUGGAUUUUCGCCUAUCGGAAAUAGAAGCCAUUGCAUCUUUAUUCAAAACCACUAUCAUAUGGAAAGAAGAACCAUCUCAUAAGCCUUUCUGGAUAGUUGAGUUACCGUCCGAUGAAGUUGCUAGGCAAAUAGCUAAUCGAUCAGUUACUCUGAAAUUUGUAACGGAAUUAUGGGCUUCAAGCAAUAAAAUAGAAGACUUACAUAAUGAUUUGAAAACGUAUUCUUCUAACGUCCUCCAACACGAUGAAGUAUUCAAAAAAUCUUCUUUUAAAUUCAAAGUAGACGUUUUUUGCAACACUCAAUCGUACGCAGAAAAAAUGGCUAAAAUUGAAACGUUUAGCUAUCUUCCAAUUAAAGGACCUGUAAAAUUAGCCGACCCAGACAUUACUUUCCAGUAUUGUGAAUUUUAUGGAACUGAUCCAAAUAAUGUACCGGCUGAGCCUUAUCAUUUAUUUUUUGGAAAACUGAUUUCCAAAUCCAAACGAAAAUUGAUACACGAUUUUUCUUUGAAAAAAAGAAAGUUCAUUGGAAAUACUAGUAUGGAUCCUGAAAUGUCUCUAAUUAUGGCUAAUCAUGCCAAAGUUGAAGCAAACGAUCUCGUCUAUGAUCCUUUUGUAGGAUCAGGUUCCCUUUUAGUAGCAGCAGCCUAUUUCGGAGCCUAUGUUUCAGGAGUAGAUAUUGAUUUUUUAAUGGUUCACGGGAAAACAAAACCGACGAGAAAGCAAACCAGACACAUUGCUCGACAAGGAGAAAAUGUACUGGCAAAUCUAACUCAGUACGGUAUGGAAAGUAAAUACCUAGAUGUAUUAGUCGGUGAUUCAUCAUUGCCUUUAUGGAGGAAUGAAUUAAAAUUUGACGCAAUAAUCACUGAUCCUCCUUACGGUAUCAGAGAAGCUACGGAAAGAGUGGGAUCGAAAAAAUCGCGAACGUUCAACGAUCCUGAAGCAGCUGCGAGAUUUCCUCCCAAAGUUAUAUAUACUUUUCAUCAAAUAUUGUCUGAUUUGUUAUUCUUUUCGUCGUCUCAUUUAAACCUCGGAGGAAGACUAGUCACGUGGAUUCCAGUUUUUCGAAAUGUUUUCUUUUUACAGAGAGGAUUACUCUGAAUCUACUUAUAUCCCUGAACAUCCAUGUUUCAAAUUGAUAAGUAAUUGCGAACAAGUGUUAUCAAGAGUAGUUUCCAGAAGAUUACUAACUUUCGAAAAACUUAGAGAACCUACAGACGAAGAUCUGGAGCUGUGUAAAAUAGAGGAUAAUAAAUUUCGAGAGAAAUAUUUUAAUUAUAAAUAUAAUAAAUCUUCGAGCUAGUGAUUUAGAAUUAUUUUUCAUGUAUUACCUGUAACUUUUUUAUUGUUUUUAAAAUAAAAGAUUGUUUCUUCGUA